rnacentral:rRNA from 1 species
CCGGGCACUCUAGAGAGACUGCCAGGGAUAACCUGGAGGAAGGCGGGGAUGACGUCAAAUCAUCAUGCCCCUUAUGACUUGGGCUACACACGUGCUACAAUGGCGUAAACAAAGGGAAGCAAAGCUGUGAAGCCGAGCAAAUCUCAAAAAUAACGUCUCAGUUCGGACUGUAGUCUGCAACCCGACUACACGAAGCUGGAAUCGCUAGUAAUCGCAGAUCAGAAUGCUGCGGUGAAUACGUUCCCGGGUCUUGUACACACCGCCCGUCACACCAUGGGAGUUGGGAAUGCCCGAAGCCAGUGACCUAACCGAAAGGAAGGAGCUGUCGAAGGCAGGCUCGAUAACUGGGGUGAAGUCGUAACAAGGUAGCCGUAUCGGAAGGUGCGGCUGGAUCACCUCCUUU